AUCCAGUGACGAGUUCCAAAUAGGACGAAACGCGCCUCAAACUGGAU
rnacentral:hammerhead_ribozyme from 1 species